GUUUAACUGAUAUUUUAACGCACAGUUAUAAGUGAGUGAACACAGCAAUUCUGGCACUCCUGCUGGGCUGAAUGCAGACCAGUUCGAAUCGAAAGUUGUGGAUUCACAAAACUUCAAAUGCAAGCUCAAGAGAGGAAACUCAAAGUCUAAGCAUCCAUUAUUCAAGACACCCUCAGUAUGACUAACUGCAGCAUUCAACUUCAAGAUUUGCAAGCCAUUUUGGAAACUGCUUAACCUGCUCUCCCAGAAAGGUUUUGAUCAAGAUACAAGACAAAUCUCCAUAAUUCUAGGGAUUAGCUCAAAUAACGUGUACUAUUAUUGUGUUUUCUUAACACUACUUUAUUUUCAGAACGAUUUUUAACCUAGAAGCUAUGCGCACCCCAUCCCCCAAAUAUUUUCCUUAACAGAGAAAUGAAACUGUAGCAGCACAAGUCACCCAAACAUUUGAUAUUGAGACAUAGUCCUAUUUAUUUCCCCUUGUAAUUAAUAGUAAUUUAUACAAAAUUAAGCAUAACUCAUCAUGUCAGUGAAUAUAUUUUAAAGUAUACAGGAAAAUGCUGUUUUGGCCUUAUAGUGUUAAACGGGAAAAAGAAAAUGACAGCCCUUUUCAGAAAAAGAUAGUAGAAUUGCUUGAUUACUGGAUUAAUCACUCAGCAGUCUAAUAAACGUAAUUUCAAUUGAGACUGGAACA
rnacentral:lncRNA from 1 species